UACGUAGGGGGCAAGCGUUAUCCGGAUUUACUGGGUGUAAAGAGAGCGUAGACGGCGAUGCAAGUCUGAAGUGAAAGGCGGGGGCCCAACCCCCGGACUGCUUUGGAAACUGUAUGGCUGGAGUGCAGGAGAGGUAAGUGGAAUUCCUAGUGUAGCGGUGAAAUGCGUAGAUAUUAGGAGGAACACCAGUGGCGAAGGCGGCUUACUGGACUGUAACUGACGUUGAGGCUCGAAAGCGUGGGGAGCAAGCAGG
rnacentral:rRNA from 1 species